UACAGAGGGGGCAAGCGUUAUUCGGAAUUAUUGGGCGUAAAGGGCGCGUAGGCGGCCAUUCAAGUGACGGGUGAAAGCCCUCGGCUUAACCGAGGAACUGCCUGUCAGACUGGAUGGCUUGAGACCGGGAGAGGUGAGUGGAAUUCCCAGUGUAGCGGUGAAAUGCGUAGAUAUUGGGAGGAACACCAGUGGCGAAGGCGGCUCACUGGACCGGAACUGACGCUGAGGCGCGAAAAGCGUGGG
rnacentral:rRNA from 1 species